rnacentral:rRNA from 1 species
CCUACGGGAGACAGCAGUGAGGAAUAUUGGUCAAUGGCCGGAAGGCUGAACCAGCCAAGCCGCGUGAGGGAGGAAGGCGCAGAGCGUCACAGACCUCUUUUGCCGGGGGACAAAAGGCCGGACUCGUCCGGUCCUGAGUGUACCCGGAGAAAAAGCAUCGGCUAACUCCGUGCCAGCAGCCGCGGUAAUACGGAGGAUCCGAGCGUUAUCCGGAUUCAUUGGGUUUAAAGGGUGCGCAGGCGGUCCUUUAAGCCGGCGGUGAAAUCGCGGGGCUCAACCCCGCCGAGCCGUCGGAACUGGGGGCCUUGAGUGCGGCGGAGGUAUGCGGAAUGCGCGGUGUAGCGGUGAAAUGCAUAGAUA